rnacentral:SRP_RNA from 1 species
GCUGGGCAUGGUGGCGUGUGCCUGUAGACCCAGCUACUUGGGGGCUGAGGCAGGAGAAUCGCUUGAACCCAGGAGGCAGAGGCUGCAGUGAGCCAAGAUUGUGCCACUGUACUCUACCCUGGGUGACAGAGCAAGACUCUGUCUCAA